GGGGUUGUAGCUCAGUGGUAGAGCGCUUGCCUAGCAUGUAGCAUGCAUUAGGUUCGAUUCUCAGCACCA
rfam:Ictidomys tridecemlineatus contig060070, whole genome shotgun sequence.